rnacentral:lncRNA from 1 species
AUUUGUGCUGUAGGCCUGUUUCUUGGGCUACAAGUUGAAGACUUAUUCCUCAGCUAUUCAUCUAGGGAAAGUCCCCGGACCUUGGGUAGAGAGUUCCAUAUGCUCAUCCUCAUAGACUUUUCCCAAGCCUCACAAUUAGUCCAUCAGGAAGCAAAUCCAGCCCUUGUGGUGAGGGAGCUGAACAGCAUCUUGUGGGAUGUUAUCCAUCAGCUCUUCUAGAAAAACAGAGUGAGCUCAAACAAAUAACCUAAUGAUGAACCUCAAAGGUCUAGAAAAACAGGAACAAUUCAAACCCAAAGUUAGUACAAG